rnacentral:tRNA from 1 species
GGGGCUGUAGCUCAGUGGUAGAGUGCUUGCCUAGCAUGCAAGAGUCCCUGGGUUCAAUCCUCAACACCG